UACGUAGGGUGCGAGCGUUGUCCGGAAUUACUGGGCGUAAAGAGCUCGUAGGUGGUUUGUCGCGUUGUUCGUGAAAACUCACAGCUCAACUGUGGGCGUGCGGGCGAUACGGGCAGACCGGAGUACUGCAGGGGAGACUGGAAUUCCUGGUGUAGCGGUGGAAUGCGCAGAUAUCAGGAGGAACACCGGUGGCGAAGGCGGGUCUCUGGGCAGUAACUGACGCUGAGGAGCGAAAGCGUGGGGAGCGAACAGG
rnacentral:rRNA from 1 species